rnacentral:rRNA from 1 species
UACGAAGGGGGCUAGCGUUUCUCGGAAUCACUGGGCGUAAAGCGCACGUAGGCGGCUUUUUAAGUCAGGGGUGAAAUCCUGGAGCUCAACUCCAGAACUGCCUUUGAUACUGAGAAGCUUGAGUCCGGGAGAGGUGAGUGGAACUGCGAGUGUAGAGGUGAAAUUCGUAGAUAUUCGCAAGAACACCAGUGGCGAAGGCGGCUCACUGGCCCGGUACUGACGCUGAUGCGCGAAAGCGUGGGGAGCAAACGGG